rnacentral:rRNA from 1 species
CUAGCUGUAAACGAUGGAUACUAGGCGUUGAGAGUAUCGACCCUCUCAGUGUCGUAGCUAACGCGUUAAGUACCCCGCCUGGGGAGCACGCGCGCAAGCGUGAAACUCAAAGGAAUUGACGGGGGCCCGCACAAGCGGUGGAGUAUGUGGUUUAAUUCGAUGCAACGCGAAGAACCUUACCAGGGCUUGACAUGUCCGGAACCCUGCCCAAAGGCGGGGGUGCCUACGGGAACCGGAACACAGGUGGUGC